rnacentral:tRNA from 3 species
GGGUGAUUAGCUCAGCUGGUAGAGCGCCUGCCUUACAAGCAGGAUGUCGGCGGUUCGAGCCCGUCAUCGCCCACCA